UUUCAUUCUACUUCAGUUUUGUGGGACAAAUAAAGUUUGAUGAAGGCAUGUUAAGCGCACAGCCUGUCUCUCGUCAAUGUCUGCUUCAGGACAAUCCAUUCUGACAGAGCCAUCCGUUUACAGUUGCUAGCUAUUGAUCUGAUUUUCAACACAUCACACCAGGCAGUUUCCUGCAGCAUGCUAACAAAAACACUCAGGUACGAUCAAAAAGCCCCACACGACACGCGAGAGCUCAUCGCCACACAGCGGAAAGCCGCGUCUUCCCACACGCUUGUGCGUACGCUCUAUGGAGACGGCUAGUUUCUGAGAGCGUUAAGGGGCUUUUGCGUCUGAAGAAAUCAGCCAGCUUGCAUUAAGAUCAGAUGCAUUGUGAGAACAGAAGAAAACAUCUGGAGGAGACAGAUGGAGGAAAGGAGAGCGAAAAGAGGCAGAUAAAUACAACCAGCUCUGUUUGGUGGACCAAUUCAGACCAUGCUAAGGAUUUUGCUGUCUUCCAUUUAAAAUGCACACAUGGGACAGGACAGAGAAUAUAUUUCACAAAUUCAUCUUUCAAAUGAGAAACAAAAGACAAGAGUUUGUGCAGGCGAAGGGAUAAGAAGCUGUUUACAUUUGAAGCAGAGAUCUGUCUGGCGGAUUUUCGCAACGAACGCCAAUCUCGCACAACAAAACUCAUCCAUUUCAGAAUGCAAAAGUAGCCCAGUCCUGUUUUAGAGGCGAAGCCACUGAGUUUAUAUGCUGAUGAUAGCAGCUCCGCUUCCUCCUAUAGAUCUACGAGUGCAAAUAAAAAAGAAAAGAGAAGGGGAAAGAGCUGGAUAAGACAUUUCAGAAAGGGGCCACAAAAAAGGAAGACGGUGAAAAGGAAAGCCAAAUUAAUUUUAUUUCCCUCAGAAAAGUGUGGUAUACCAAUGGGGUCCCUGUAACUUGUGAAAAAUUAAGAGAGACGGAUUCAAACUGUCCAAUUUCCACAUCAAACAAACGUUGGCUCUCUGCUCCUGCAGAAAGUGCUUCAUACAGCACACAUCCCUCCCCCCAUUCCCCCCAUCUCCAACCGCCUCUCCUCUCCAACCUGAACCACCAACACAUUUUCUGAACACUCACAGUAUUCUCAGUUUCCUUAUUAAUCCCACUCUCUAAUUCCCCUAAGCACUGUACUGGUUACACUAGCCACUGUCUCUCCCCUGUCUAAUUAUACCCUUGUGAGUUUAUUAAUCAACCUGUGAAUUAUUUAAGAAGGAGAGAUCUUCCGUCUGUAACUGACUUUGACAGAGGGGGGAAAAAUGAGGGAGGGCCAAGGUAGAGGAUGGAGAGAGAGCUAAUGCGCAGUAUGGAGGGGGUAGGAGAAAAGAGAAAGAAAUACAGAAUGAGGGUCUACCGUCCUGGCGCGUCCCCCGAGGACUGAAGCUGGUGCAGCUCUCUGGCACUGAAACGAGGCAGAUCCUCGUCAAAAUACACUUUAUGUUUGUUUUUUCCCCCUCAAUCCGCAUAAGUUUUCAUCACAAACAUGAAUUCAUGAAUAUAUGUAGCUGCAAAGAAUAAAGAGGGUAGGGAACAGGAGGGAACAUAGAGAGGGAGAGAAAUGAAGGCAAACCAAGUGAAAUUUCUAUUACAGAGAAUUUACACUUUCCUGUGUUUGACAUCUAGGCUCUCUUGUCCCCGUUAUCCAGGCAUUACGGUUAUGGUUAGAGCAUUUUUUAAUCAUGUUGCUCUGUGUAUACUCAUAAGCUAAGGGCUUAUUUUAUUUUAUUUUAGAGGGCACGUUUAAUGACUGCCGUUGCCGCUACCAUCCACGUUGAGCCAACUAGGGCCGGAAGAAGUUGAUUUUAAAGUAAGCUCAUCAUUAUUUUCCGACUGCAAGGUGUGCUCCAUUGGCCCCUGCAAAGAGCCUGCCAAUCCCAGAAUACUAAUGAGUGAGGCAUUAGAUAAAUAAAUAAGACUGAGUGUGUCCCGGCCCACAUCAUUCUGCUAUACGAGAUGUUAAAGAGUCUGUUUUUUGUCUGUCAAAGGUUGUGUGGGUACGUUUGUUGCCAUUGUCUGCUUUAUGUGUGUCAGGUUAAAGUAAGCUCCUCUCAUUAGGACCUGAGCAGCGCUGCUGUCGGUGGCUGAAGCUCACCGCUCUCUGCGGGAUGUUUAUUAAAUUAAUAAAAAGUAGCUUGCGGCAAACAGAACACAGGAAAGCCCCGGGUACAGCUGUGAUUGGCACCCUCGGCCGGCCCGCGCUCUCUCAGGAGGCCAACGGCAUUUGCUUUAACUAACCGGCCGUGACUGAGGGCACAAGCUGACAUGUCGCUCUCUCUCUCGUGCUUUCAUUCUCAUACCUCUUUCAUUGUGAAAGAAUGCCUCAGAAUGCACUGGGAAGGCGCAGUGACAUUCGAGGGAAAGAAAGAGAACAGAGGGUGGCCCAUGUUGGGUGAGAGUGCAUUAAAAACAGCAAAAACAACCAAAAACAAACACAGGAACUAGGUUUCUCUAAUGUCAACAUUAGACAUUCUUAGUUCCACCUGAAGUCAGUGUAGAAUGAAACUCUAUAACCUGCAUUAUGUCUUGGCAGAA